rnacentral:misc_RNA from 1 species
GAUGAAGAACGCAGCGAAAUGCGAUAAGUAGUGUGAAUUGCAGAAUUCAGUGAAUCAUCGAAUCUUUGAACGCACAUUGCGCCCCUUGGUAUUCCAUGGGGCAUGCCUGUUCGAGCGUCAUUUGUACCUUCAAGCUCUGCUUGGUGUUGGGUGUUUGUCUCGCCUCUGCGUGUAGACUCGCCUCAAAACAAUUGGCAGCCGGCGUAUUGAUUUCGGAGCGCAGUACAUCUCGCGCUUUGCACUCAUAACGACGACGUCCAAAAGUACAUUUUUACACUCUUGACCUCGGAUCAGGUAGGGAUACUCGCUGAACUUAAGCAUAUCAAUAAGCGGAGGA